UGAGGAACAUGACCUUCGGCGGGGGAUAGCCGGCCCAACGGCCGGGUAAUACCGCGUACGACCUUUCGGGGACAUCCCCGGAUGGUGAAAGCAGCAAUGCGCCGAUGGAGUGCCUCGCGGCCUAUCAGCUAGUUGGUGAGGUAACGCUCACCAAGGCAACGACGGGUANCUGGUCUGAGAGGAUGGCCAGCCUCAGUUGGGACUGAGACCACCGGCCCAGACCUCCGUACGGGGAG
rnacentral:rRNA from 1 species